CAUUAGUUGUAUAUUUGAUAUCCGUUUAAUCUUCACAACUCUAUGACAUAAUGUUGUUACCCCUUUUACAGAUGAGGAAAUUGAGGAACAUGGUAGGAAAGUCUGGAGUCAGUCCUCUGCUAAACCUUAAGACUGGGAAGACCCGAAAUCCAGGCCAGAAAUUCCAGCCAGACUCUGCACAGAGCCAACUGGAUGCAUCUCACACUCAACAGGCCCUGGAGAUAUGAACUGCUCUUGGUCCACACAGCUAAAUAUAUCUCCCUUAGGCUGACGGCUUCUCGAAAGUUACUGAAAUAAUUUACCUCAAGUGGCCAUUUGUCGUGUGGUGAUUUGAAUAAGCAAAGCUUGAUCCAAUUCGAGUUUGAUUCUAGAGUGCCAUUUACUUCACAAUUGUUUAUUAAAUGCUGGUAAUGUGCUAGAUACGGCCCUAGCUGUGGGGCCAGAGUACAGAGUUACUCUCUAGCAGGUGAAAGAGGAAGAAUGAAACCAAUAGGUACCUACCUAAACAAUUUCAGGUAAGGAUAAACAUCAUGGAGGUGAGAAGGCCAGGCGAGUGAGUGAGAGCGUGAAGACAUGUGGUUGGUAUGCAGAGGGUUCUCUGAAGCAGUGUGGCUGCCAGCAGGUUUAAACUCCACCAUGGGCAUCAUUCCUCAGAAGAUCUCCAGGAGGAAGGUAUUAUGAUCUUUAUUUUACUGAGGACGAAUGAGGCUUCCAGAAGUUAAAACCUUACCUGAGUUGCAAAGCUCAGAAGUGGCUGGCUGGGAUUCGAACCACAUCCCUUGCACACCAGGUCUGUUAACUUCCCUGGCGUUGUGCUCGGUUCACUAUAAAAUGAGUGGGUUAGAGAAAGAUGGCUUCUAAAGGUCUUUCUUCUAAAAUCCUAUAUGUGGCAGGGAGCUGGCAAGGGAGGUUAUGUGUGCCUGGGUGGCUCAGUUGCUUAAGUAUCUGACUCUUGAUUUCAGCUCAGGUCUUGAUCUCAGGGUUGUGAGUUCCAGUUCCAUGCUGGACAUAGACCUUACUUAAAUAAUAAGUUAAAAAUAAGUUAAAAAUAGAAGUGCCUGGGUGGCUCAGUGGUUGAACAUCUGCCUUCGGCUCAGGUCGUGAUUCCAGGGUUCUGGGAUCGAGUCCUGCAUUGGGCUCCCCACGGGGAGCCAGCUUCUCCCUCUGCUGUGUCUCUGCCUCUCUCUCUUUCUCUCUCUCAUGAAUAAAAUAAAAUCUUAAAAAAAUAAUAAAUUGGGA
rnacentral:lncRNA from 1 species